UGGCGAACGGGUGAGUAACACGUGGGUGAUCUGCCUUGCACUCUGGGAUAAGCUUGGGAAACUGGGUCUAAUACCGGAUAGGACGAUGGUUUGGAUGCCAUUGUGGAAAGUUUUUUCGGUGUGGGAUGAGCUCGCGGCCUAUCAGCUUGUUGGUGGGGUAAUGGCCUACCAAGGCGUCGACGGGUAGCCGGCCUGAGAGGGUGUACGGCCACAUUGGGACUGAGAUACGGCCCAG
rnacentral:rRNA from 1 species